rnacentral:rRNA from 1 species
AUUGAACGCUGGCGGCAUGCCUUACACAUGCAAAUCGAACGGUAACGGGCCUUCGGGUGCCGACGAGUGGCGAACGGGUGAGUAAUACAUCGGAACGUGCCCGAUCGUGGGGGAUAACGAGGCGAAAGCUUUGCUAAUACCGCAUACGAUCUACGGAUGAAAGCAGGGGACUGCAAGGCCUUGCGCGGACGGAGCGGCCGAUGGCAGAUUAGGUAGUUGGUGGGAUAAAAGCUUACCAAGCCGACGAUCUGUAGCUGGUCUGAGAGGAUGAUCAGCCACACUGGGACUGAGACACGGCCCAGACUCCUACGGGAGGCAGCAGUGGGGAAUUUUGGACAAUGGGCGCAAGCCUGAUCCAGCCAUGCCGCGUGCAGGAUGAAGGCCUUCGGGUUGUAAACUGAUUUUGUACGGAACGAAAAGCCUUCUUUUAAUACAGGAGGGUCAUGACGGUACCGUAAGAAUAAGCACCGGCUAACUACGUG